ACAGGUCGAGGGGCAGCAUUUUAGUUUGCUUGCAAACUAAAGAUGGCGACCGGCGCACGGGCUGAGCUAACACGCUAUCCAACCUGCCGAUAACUCGGGGAUAGCCUUUCGAAAGAAAGAUUAAUAUCCGAUAGUAUAUUAAAACCGCAUGGUUUUACUAUUAAAGAAUUUCGGUUAUCGAUGGGGAUGCGUUCCAUUAGUUUGUUGGCGGGGUAACGGCCCACCAAGACUACGAUGGAUAGGGGUUCUGAGAGGAAGGUCCCCCACAUUGGAACUGAGACACGGUCCAAACUCAUACGGGAGGCAGCAGUGAGGAAUAUUGGUCAAUGGACGAGAGUCUGAACCAGCCAAGUAGCGUGAAGGAUGACUGCCCUAUGGGUUGUAAACUUCUUUUAUAUGGGAAUAAAGUAUUCCACGUGUGGGAUUUUGUAUGUACCAUAUGAAUAAGGAUCGGCUAACUCCGUGCCAGCAGCCGCGGUAAUACGGAGGAUCCGAGCGUUAUCCGGAUUUAUUGGGUUUAAAGGGAGCGUAGGUGGAUUGUUAAGUCAGUUGUGAAAGUUUGCGGCUCAACCGUAAAAUUGCAGUUGAAACUGGCAGUCUUGAGUACAGUAGAGGUGGGCGGAAUUCGUGGUGUAGCGGUGAAAUGCUUAGAUAUCACGAAGAACUCCGAUUGCGAAGGCAGCUCACUAGACUGCAACUGACACUGAUGCUCGAAAGUGUGGGUAUCAAACAGGAUUAGAUACCCUGGUAGUCCACACAGUAAACGAUGAAUACUCGCUGUUUGCGAUAUACAGUAAGCGGCCAAGCGAAAGCAUUAAGUAUUCCACCUGGGGAGUACGCCGGCAACGGUGAAACUCAAAGGAAUUGACGGGGGCCCGCACAAGCGGAGGAACAUGUGGUUUAAUUCGAUGAUACGCGAGGAACCUUACCCGGGCUUAAAUUGCAUUUGAAUAAUCUGGAAACAGGUUAGCCGCAAGGCAAAUGUGAAGGUGCUGCAUGGUUGUCGUCAGCUCGUGCCGUGAGGUGUCGGCUUAAGUGCCAUAACGAGCGCAACCCUUAUCUUUAGUUACUAACAGGUCAUGCUGAGGACUCUAGAGAGACUGCCGUCGUAAGAUGUGAGGAAGGUGGGGAUGACGUCAAAUCAGCACGGCCCUUACGUCCGGGGCUACACACGUGUUACAAUGGGGGGUACAGAAGGCAGCUACCUGGCGACAGGAUGCUAAUCCCAAAAACCUCUCUCAGUUCGGAUCGAAGUCUGCAACCCGACUUCGUGAAGCUGGAUUCGCUAGUAAUCGCGCAUCAGCCAUGGCGCGGUGAAUACGUUCCCGGGCCUUGUACACCACAANCCGUCAAGCCAUGAAAGCCGGGGGUACCUGAAGUACGUAACCGCAAGGAGCUCCCUAGGUAA
rnacentral:rRNA from 1 species